CACUUACUAAAUGAUCACCAGCGCCGAUGCCCAUAUUUUUUGUGCCACGAAAUAUAAGAAGUUAGCUAGAUCCUCAGUAGUUGGUAAUAAAAAUGCUAUAUGAAAAAGCCCUGCUUCACGUGGGGAAGUCUGACGGCCGUCUUCUAAUAAAUGUAACGUUAGAGUAUGGCCACCAGUCCCAACAGAUAAUACGGUUGUAUUAUCGUCAGAACUUUUAACGGAUAGUCCUAAAAUGUUUUUGUAAAAUGUUGUCAUUAAGUCUAAGUCUCUUACGUUCAGU
rnacentral:sRNA from 1 species